GGUUCUAUGGUCUAGUGGUUAGGACAUUCGGUUUUGAUUCGCUCUCGAAGCUUCAAAACUCCGAAUAGCCCCGGUUCGAACCCGGGUAGGACCU